rnacentral:rRNA from 1 species
CCUACGGGGUGCAGCAGUAGGGAAUCUUUCACAAUGGGCGAAAGCCUGAUGGAGCAACGCCGCGUGCAGGAUGAAGGCCCUCGGGUUGUAAACUGCUUUUAUAAGCGAGAAAUAUGAUGGUAACUUAUGAAUAAGGAUCGGCUAACUACGUGCCAGCAGCCGCGGUCAUACGUAGGAUCCGAGCAUUAUCCGGAGUGACUGGGUGUAAAGAGUUGCGUAGGUGGCAUAAUAAGUAGCUAGUGAAAUCUGGUGGCUCAACCAUUCAGACUAUUAGCUAAACUGUUAAGCUCGAGACCGUUAGGGGUAACUGGAAGUUCUAGUGUAGGAGUGAAAUCCGUAGAUAUUAGAAGGAACACCAAUAGCGUAGGCAGGUUGCUGGGACGGUUCUGACACUAAGGCACGAAAGCGUAGGGAGCAAACGGGAUUAGAUACCCCUGUAGUC